ACUCUCCUGAGCUAGAACCCUAGCUUUUGUUGCGGAUCGGCCAUGGAUUCAACUAUGGAAUCAUGGUUUUCCUUUAUUUUGACAAAUUUUUCUUCUCCUAUUCAAAGGAUUUUUCUUUAUUCCUCUUUCCGAGAUUAAGGUUACGCGAAAUCCAUUUGGAUUGAUUUGUUGGAUUCAUUCUCAACUUCAGUUGGAUUUGGAGAAAAGCAAGGAUGGAUUGCUUGUAUGCAAAACAUUGCUUCAUGGCAGAGAAGGAGAAGUUAGGUCAGAAGUAAUGAGUAGCUUUGAGAAUAGAUGUUUAUUUGAGAAGUUUAAUUGUUUUUAAAUGAGUUAGAAUGUUUUAUUUAUAACUGGAGAUAGUUCUUAAAUUUAACAGUGUGUGAAAUGUCAUUUAUCGUUUAAUAGGAUUGGAAAGGAUCCUUGGUUUGAGAGACUCCCAUGUACCCACAAAGGAACUUAUGCCGAUGAUUUUAUGGUUGAUAGAGUUACUUAAUCUGAUAUCAAAGAAGACAUUAAUAGUGGAUAUACUGAUCUGUACUAUUUUCAUGAGAUAGAGAUUUGAAGUGGAGAAUUCGCAAGGUUUCUGCCUUUCCAAUCAUGUACAUCACUAGCCAUAAGUUUGAAGUAAUCGAUUGAGGGACUACCUAAAGCAACCCUUGGUGGAGCUCCACGAUAUGGAGAUGAUCACAUACAAGAUAGAACAACUUCUACUGGGGUUUCUGAAACUCAAUUUUUUGCGAGCGCAAAUGUUGAUAGUGCAUAGCCACCAAAUGAUGACAAUUAUGACUGCAUGAUUGAAGAAAUCAUUGGCAAGUGAGAUGUUAUGCGAUAGAGAUGAUGAAGCACGUGGAAAAGCUCAUGUUUCAAAGGGUGAGAUGAUUCAGCAACCAAAAGAUUAUGUAACUCCUGUAGGAGAGCUUGCAAUUAGAGUGGCAAGGUUAUAACAGAUUGAAUUCAGUUUUAGCAAGAAUUCAUGUUGCGAUUUGUUUUCAGAGAUUCGAUGUUCUUGAAUGAUAUUUUGGGUAAUUGAUAUAAAUUUAGUUUCA